GGGGGGGGGGGGGGGGGGGGGGGGGGGGGGGGGGGGGGGGGGGGGGGCGGGGGGGGGUGGCUGGGGCGGGGGGCGGGGGGCGGAGGGGGGGGGGGGGCGUCGGGAGCUACUGUUUCGUGGGGGGUAACGUGGGGGAACUUACGCUAAUACCGCAUACGACCUGCGGGGGAAAGCAGGGGAUCUUCGGACCUUGCGCGAGUGAAGGAGCCGAUGUCGGAUUAGCUAGUUGGCGGGGUAAGGGACCACCAAGGCGACGAUCCGUAGCUGGUCUGAGAGGAUGAUCAGCCACACUGGAACUGAGACACGGUCCAGACUCCUGCGGGAGGCAGCAGUGGGGAAUAUUGGACAAUGGGCGCAAGCCUGAUCCAGCCAUACCGCGUGGGUGAAGAAGGCCUUCGGGUUGUAAAGCCCUUUUGUUGGGAAAGAAAAGCAGCAGGUUAAUACCCCGCUGUUCUGACGGUACCCAAAGAAUAAGCACCGGCUAACUUCGUG
rnacentral:rRNA from 1 species